rnacentral:rRNA from 1 species
AUUGAACGCUGGCGGCAGGCCUAACACAUGCAAGUCGAACGAGUGGCGGACGGGUGAGUAAUGUCUGGGAAACUGCCCGAUGGAGGGGGAUAACCACUGGAAACGGUAGCUAACAACCUAUACUAUCAGAGGUGCCCAGAUGGGACUAGCUAGUUGGUGGGGGAACGGCUCACCAAGGCGACGAUCCCUAGCUGGUUCGAGAGGAUGACCGGCCACACUGGAACGGGGACACGGUCCAGACUCCUACGGGAGGCAGCAUUGGGGAAUAUUGGACAAUGGGCGCAAGCCUUAUGCAGCCAUGCCGCGUGUAUGAAGAAGGCCUUCGGGUUGUAAAGUACUUUCAGCGGGGAGGCGUUACCCGCAGAAGAAGCACCGGCUAACUCCGUGCCAGCAGCCGCGGUAAUAC